CUCCCACGUCCAAGGAUGGCAGCAGGCGCGAAAAUUGUCCACUCUUUUGAGAGGAGACAGUUAUGAAACGUGAGUAGAAGGGUCGAGUGUAAAAACCUUGACGUGAAGCAAUUGGAGGGCAAGUUUUGGUGCCAGCAGCCGCGGUAAUUCCAACUCCAAGAGUGUCUAUGGUGGAUGCUGCAGUUAAAGGGUCCGUAGUCGUAGAUGCAAUUAAAAGGUGGUGUUAAAAGCCAUUGAGUUUGUUGAGAGUAGCGGAACGGAUAGGGAGCAUGGUAUAGGUGGGCAAAGAAUGAAAUCUCAAGACCCCACCUGGACCAACGGAGGCGAAAGCGAUGCUCUUAGACGUAUCUGGGGAUCAAGGACGAAGGCUAGAGUAUCGAAAGUGAUUAGACACCGCUGUAGUUCUAGCAGUAAACUAUGCCGACAAUGCUGGGUGUUGCGAGAGCGAUGCUUGGUGUGGGAGAAAUCUUA
rnacentral:rRNA from 1 species